UAAUAAAUGCAAGAUUCACCAGAUAUGACAUAUUUCAUUAGCUGAAAUCCUUCACAGGUGGGAAGGACAUUGCUGUCCAUUCCUACAGCACCCGUGACUGCUGUGACUGCCAGAUGCCACUGUCGGGGGUCUCUCAGGACAGACAUGGGGUUGUCCACGUACCGGUUUUCCAGACAUGCAGAAGACACUGAAGACGGUGUGUGCUUCCAGACCAUGGUGGGGCUGCACCUGACAGGCCAUGUCCCGAGGAGCCGGGUUGACUGUCAAGUACAGCUGAGCUUUACCCAGUAAGCCAUGCUUCGAAGCUAAAGAGAAAGAUGAAGCAGCGGUUUCACCCAUGAUGGAGAAUUACAGCAGCAUAGGAAUAAGUUUUUAUAGAUAAACCUUAUAGCAGGGGUUCUCAAAGUAGGGUCCCCAGACCAGCAGCAUCGGACUAACCUGGGAAUUUGUCAGAAAUGAAGAUUCUGGAGCCCCACCCUAGACCUGCUGACUCAGAAACUGAGACUCAGUGAUAGUUUUCACAUACCCUUAGGGGAUUCUGAAGUUCUGGGGUUUGAGAACCACUGCCUAUAUGUUCAUUAAUAUAACAAACACUCACUGGGUGGGGCAGGUACUAUCCUAGGCCCUGGGGAGACAGAAGUGUCUCCCUACCUGGGAGUCACAUGGCAACCACCCAGACAGAAACCGAAGCCUGAGGGAGAGAUGAUGCUAACAGACCCAUUACCCAGCAGAGCAAACUUUCUCCAUUCUCCUGGAUUCUCUCAAAACCUUAGCCACAUACACACGUACGUACAGCUUCGUUGAAUGUAUAGCACCAAUACAAUUUUAUAUUUUGUUUUAUUAACUAUAUUAAUAUCAUAACUAUUUUCCAUGUUGACAUAGAGCAUCCAAAAUCAUUGUUGUAAAUAGCAGCAUAAGAUUACAUGGAACAGAUAUACCCUAAUACGCACAAUUAUUAUCCCCAAUGAUUAAACAUUUUGCUUAUUUUCCAUUUUCUGUUAUUAUUGAUCACCCCAUAAUGAUUAUUCUCAUACAUAUAGUUUUUAAAUGUUUAAUGUAUUUGUCUUGAGAUGGAUUAUAGAAAUGAAAUUUACAUGUCAAAUGGUUUAAAAUCUUGAUGAUCAUCAUCCUCAUCGUAACAGCAGGUACCAUCUAUUGAGCCUCUGCUACACACCAGGUGCCCUGCUAGACACUGUUCCUGUAUUAUCUUAUUUAACAGUCACAUUAACCAUGGAAGACAGAUCUCAUAACAAAAGUAAA
rnacentral:lncRNA from 1 species